rnacentral:rRNA from 1 species
UUCUAAGGGCGUUGAAGCAUGAUCGCAAGGACAUGUGGAGCGCUUAGAAGUGAGAAUGCCGGUGUGAGUAGCGAAAGACGGGUGAGAAUCCCGUCCACCGAUUGACUAAGGUUUCCAGAGGAAGGCUCGUCCGCUCUGGGUUAGUCGGGUCCUAAGCUGAGGCCGACAGGCGUAGGCGAUGGAUAACAGGUUGAUAUUCCUGUACCACCAUUAUUCGUUUUAAGCGAUGGGGGGACGCAGUAGGAUAGGCGAAGCGUGCUGUUGGAGUGCACGUCCAAGCAGUGAGAUUGAGUGUUAGGCAAAUCCGGCACUCUUAAGAUUGAGCUGUGAUGGGGAGAGGAACUUGUUCCUCGAGUCGUUGAUUUCACACUGCCGAGAAAAGCCUCUAGCUAGAAUAACGGUGCCCGUACCGCAAACCGACACAGGUAGUCAAGAUGAGAAUUCUAAGGUGAGCGAGCGAACUCUCGUUAAGGAACUCGGCAAAAUGACCCCGUAACUUCGGGAGAAGGGGUGCUCUUUGAGGUUCACGCUUCGAAGAGCCGCAGUGAAUAGGCCCAAGCGACUGUUUAUCAAAAACACAGGUCUCUGCUAAACCGUAAGGUGACGUAUAGGGGCUGACGCCUGCCCGGUGCUGGAAGGUUAAGAGGAGUGGUUAGCGCAAGCGAAGCUACGAAUCGAAGCCCCAGUAAACGGCGGCCGUAACUAUAACGGUCCUAAGGUAGCGAAAUUCCUUGUCGGGUAAGUUCCGACCCGCACGAAAGGCGUAACGAUUUGGGCACUGUCUCAACGAGAGACUCGGUGAAAUCAUAGUACCGGUGAAGAUGCCGGUUACCCGCGACAGGACGGAAAGACCCCGUGGAGCUUUACUGUAGCCUGAUAUUGAAAUUCGGUACAGUUUGUACAGGAUAGGUAGGAGCCUUAGAAGCGUGAGCGCUAGCUUACGUGGAGGCAUUGGUGGGAUACUACCCUAAUUGUAUUGGAUUUCUAACCCGCAGCACUUAUCGUGC